CACNCCGUAAACGAUGAGUGCUAGGUGUUAGNCCCUUUCCGGGGCUUAGUGCCGCAGCUAACGCAUUAAGCACUCCGCCUGGGGAGUACGACCGCAAGGUUGAAACUCAAAGGAAUUGACGGGGGCCCGCACAAGCGGUGGAGCAUGUGGUUUAAUUCGAAGCAACGCGAAGAACCUUACCAGGUCUUGACAUCCCGAUGCCCGCUCUAGAGAUAGAGUUUUACUUCGGUACAUCGGUGACAGGUGGUGCAUGGUUGUCGUCAGCUCGUGUCGUGAGAUGUUGGGUUAAGUCCCGCAACGAGCGCAACCCUUAUUGUUAGUUGCCAUCAUUCAGUUGGGCACUCUAGCGAGACUGCCGGUAAUAAACCGGAGGAAGGUGGGGAUGACGUCAAAUCAUCAUGCCCCUUAUGACCUGGGCUACACACGUGCUACAAUGGCUGGUACAACGAGUCGCAAGUCGGUGACGGCAAGCUAAUCUCUUAAAGCCAGUCUCAGUUCGGAUUGUAGGCUGCAACUCGCCUACAUGAAGUCGGAAUCGCUAGUAAUCGCGGAUCAGCACGCCGCGGUGAAUACGUUCCCGGGCCUUGUACACACCGCCCGUCACACCACGAGAGUUUGUAACACCCGAAGUCGGUGAGGUANCC
rnacentral:rRNA from 1 species